UUUUUCCUGGAAACGUCUAAUCUGGCUGCCAACCCCCUGGACAAGAGCAUCAACUUUUUCUGGGAGGCCCUGUACCCCUAAUUUAGCUCUUGCUUCCAAGCUGUGCAUGGGGGAAUGGGGUGGGGGCUGUAACUAGCCUGCCUUCACCUUCCCCGCUCCUACCCUGUGGCUCCCCCACAGGGAAGUCAGAGCCUGCUUCUCUAGAAGUGUAGAAGGAGAACUGAGCCUCCGCCCUGGAGUAGUGGUGGAUGGAUUUGCACUCAGCACUUCCUGACUUUGAAGUUGUACCAUAUGUGUUUUUAAUACCCAGCUUACUCGGAAGGAAUAAGGGGACCGUUCCAGAAGCUCAGUCGCACUGGGUGCCCUGCACUGACGAAGAUGAAGCCAGAAAGCUGUGGAGAAGUAAAAGCAAGAUGGAGACAGGCGCCCUUGUGAGGCCUCUGCUGUGGAAGAAGAUCCAGGCAUGAUAGCACGCAGAACGAACUCUGUACAGUGGAGCCCAAAUCUAUCGGGGAGUUCAAUGGAGCAAUGACCCACGGCACAGAGCCCUUCCCUGGGAAGUCCACCAGAAUCAAUGCUCAGCUUCCAGGAACAGCGCUCUGGGAUAGACUCCACAGCUCAGCUUCCGGGAACAGUGCUCUGGGAUAGACCACACAGCUCAGCUUCCAGUAACAGCACUCUGGGAUAGACCACACAGCUCAGCUUUGGGGAACAGCGCUCUGGGAUAGAACACACAGCUCGGCUUCUGGGAACAGUGCUCUGGGAUCGACUCCACAGCUCAACUUCCAGGAACAGCACUCUGGGAUAGACCACACAGGUCGGCUUCUGGGAACAGCACUCUGGGAUAGACCACACAGCUCAGCUUUGGGGAACAGUGCUCUGGGAUAGACCACACAGCUCAGCUUCCAGGAACAGCACUCUGGGAUAGACCACACAGCUCGGCUUCUGGGAACAGAGCUCUGGGAUAGACCACACAGCUCAGCUUCUGGGAACAGCGCUCUGGGAUAGACCGCACAGCUCGGCUUCCGGGCACAGUGCUCAUGUGGGCAUUGAUGAUCCUGAUUCUCGUUUAGGAUGUGCGGAUGCAUGACUAAGUCAGGAUUCCACACCUUGACUUUCCUUCCUUGUCUUUUUUAAGUAAAAGGCAUGGGAUGCAGCGCUUAGAAUGACUGGACGAGAUGGGGCUCACCCCACGACGGACACAAAAGUGGGCUCCCUCCUCGCGAGCUCAACUUUCCCUUUUUGUGUCAAAUCAGAAAGGAGGGCAUGACACCUUCAUCCCAACUCUGAGAAACAAGUUACUCCGGGGCAACUUUUCCAACAGGCCUUCCCACGAAGUACAGGGGAGCGAGUGGAAGAAAGGCAGGAAGCAGAUCUGUAGCCAGCAGCCCCGGCGCUCGACACUGAAGGCUUAACAUCAAAUGCAGGGAGAAAUCCAUUUCCUCAACUCCAUUGGCCAUCUCGGACGUCUCAUUUCAAAGAGAAAGAUUUGAAUUCAGAGACAUUGCACACGCUUUGUUCUCUUGCCCUCCAGCCUUUGGUGCCAGUGUGGACGGUACCACAGGGAGAGGGUGAGAUCAAACGCCCUCUCCACUCCGCUACCUGCCCCCAGAGCUGGCCCUUGGCAUGCCUAAUGAAAUCAGCUUGGCUAUAGGUUGACAAUGCCCUGUCAAUUAUAAUCAUUUAUCUUGGCAAGCAGAGUAUCUGAACACUUGAAAGAGCAGGGGUGCAGCAGACCCAGCAAAACCAGAAUAAAAUUAUACUGCAUGGUAA